rnacentral:rRNA from 1 species
AUGUUAACCUGGAGCUCAUACCCGAUGGAUCCAGGACCCCACCACCCGUCCACGUACAACCACCACCACCACUACCCCUUCUUGCCGGCCGCCGGACCGCCCACCGCUGGCGGCGACACCCUUCUCUUCCUCCUCGCCAUCCCGGCAGGCUGGCUCGUCCGGCUGGUUGCCUUCCUCGGCGAGCGCGUCAUCUCCGCGGUCCUCACCCUCGUGGUCCUCCCCGGCGCGACGCUCGUGGGCGAGCUGCGCACCGUCCCUGCGGCUGCGGCCUCCCUCGCCCGCCGCGCCGCCGUGGGCGUGCUCGCCGCGGCCUUCACCUUCGCGGCCCUGGCGGUCGCGUUAGUCGCGUCCCUGCUGCUCGGCUUCGUCCUUAUCCGGCACUGGGUCGAGGACCCGGUCACCGUGCGCCAGCCGCUCUACUUCGACUACACCGAGCCGCAGCCGAGCGCCGCCGUGGCCCUCGUCCCCCCGGCGGGACACUCCGUGAGGGUGUCCAUGUCGUUGCUGCUGCCAGACUCCGACCACAACCGUCAGAUUGGCGUGUUCCAGAUUAAAACAGAGGCCAUCACCCCAAGUGGAAGCACCGUCGCAUCAGCCACCCAGCCGUACAUGCUGCGGUACAAGAGCGCUCCGGUGCGGCUAGCGCAGUCCGCGCUAACAAUCGUGCCGCUCGCCUUGGGCAUGCGCAGCGAGAGCCAGUCGGCGACGCUGAAGCUGCUGCAGUACUGGGAAGGCCACGGCCGUCACAAGAGGACACGGCUCAUCAGAGUCUCUCUGCAGCCAAGAGCCAUGACAGUGCACCUGCCCCAGGUGUACAGAGCAGAGAUCACCGUGCAGACGGCGCUUCCAUGGUUCAAGGCCGUGGCGCGCAGCUUGAAAUGGACAAUGUGCGUGUGGCUCUCUUUCUGGGUCUAUGUCAUCCUCUCCCUGCUCGCGGUUCGUUGGGUCUGGCCACUUGCGGUAUCUGCAUGGGACAGUCACAGGGGGUUAUCUGAUCGUCAAGUCAAUGGGAAGACUAUUGCUGCUAAUCAGGGUGGAGGAGAUAUAGGCCAGAGCUCACAUGAGGGAUCAUCAAGAGGUGGCGCUGUGAGGUGGAGGGACAGGAGAGGCAGGAGGAAAGCACAACAAACGCCGCAUGGCGGCAUGGUUGAGCUCAAGCUCGAUGAGGGGUCGUCUUAUAGCUCUGCAGUGGCUGAGACUGAUGAAGUCGUCGACGACGAAUCAUAG